rnacentral:rRNA from 1 species
CCUACGGGAGGCAGCAGUAGGGAAUUUUGCGCAAUGGGCGAAAGCCUGACGCAGCAACGCCGCGUGAUCGAGACGCCCUUCGGGGUGUAAAGAUCUGUCAGUGGGGACGAAACUUGACGGUACCUGACUAAGAAGCACCGGCUAAAUACGUGCCAGCAGCCGCGGUAAUACGUAUGGUGCAAGCGUUAUCCGGAUUUACUGGGUGUAAAGGGAGCGCAGGCGGCACGCUAAGCCUGAUGUGAAAACCCGCGGCCCAACCGCGGGAGUGCAUUGGGAACUGGCGGGCUGGAGUACCGGAGGGGCAGGCGGAAUUCCUAGUGUAGCGGUGAAAUGCGUAGAUAUUAGGAGGAACACCAGUGGCGAAGGCGGCCUGCUGGACGGAGACUGACGCUGAGGCUCGAAAGCGUGGGGAGCAAACAGGAUUAGAUACCCGUGUAGUC